rnacentral:rRNA from 1 species
CAGUGCUAGUGGCAGACGGGUGAGUAACACGUGGGAACGUACCUUUCGGUUCGGAAUAAUUCAGGGAAACUUGGACUAAUACCGGAUAAGCCCUUCGGGGGAAAGAUUUAUCGCCGAUAGAUCGGCCCGCGUCUGAUUAGCUAGUUGGUGAGGUAAUGGCUCACCAAGGCGACGAUCAGUAGCUGGUCUGAGAGGAUGAUCAGCCACAUUGGGACUGAGACACGGCCCAAACUCCUACGGGAGGCAGCAGUGGGGAAUAUUGGACAAUGGGCGAAAGCCUGAUCCAGCCAUGCCGCGUGAGUGAUGAAGGCCUUAGGGUUGUAAAGCUCUUUUGUCCGGGAAGAUAAUGACUGUACCGGAAGAAUAAGCCCCGGCUAACUUCGUGCCAGCAGCCGCGGUAAUACGAAGGGGGCUAGCGUUGCUCGGAAUCACUGGGCGUAAAGGGCGCGUAGGCGGACUCUUAAGUCGGGGGUGAAAGCCCAGGGCUCAACCCUGGAAUUGCCUUCGAUACUGAGAGUCUUGAGUUCGGAAGAGGUUGGUGGAACUGCGAGUGUAGAGGUGAAAUUCGUAGAUAUUCGCAAGAACACCAGUGGCGAAGGCGGCCAACUGGUCCGAUACUGACGCUGAGGCGCGAAAGCGUGGGGAGCAAACAGGAUUAGAUACCCUGGUAGUCCACG